CCAGACUCCUACGGGAGGCAGCAGUGGGGAAUAUUGCACAAUGGGGGAAACCCUGAUGCAGCGACGCCGCGUGAGUGAAGAAGUAAUUCGUUAUGUAAAGCUCUAUCAGCAGGGAAGAAAAUGACGGUACCUGAGUAAGAAGCCCCGGCUAACUACGUGCCAGCAGCCGCGGUAAUACGUAGGGGGCAAGCGUUAUCCGGAUUUACUGGGUGUAAAGGGUGCGCAGGCGGAAUGUCAAGUCAGCGGUAAAAUUUCGGGGCUCAACCCCGUCGUGCCGUUGAAACUGACGGUCUUGAGUGGGCGAGAAGUAUGCGGAAUGCGUGGUGUAGCGGUGAAAUGCAUAGAUAUCACGCAGAACUCCGAUUGCGAAGGCAGUAUACCGGCGCCCAACUGACGCUGAAGCACGAAAGCGUGGGUAUCGAACAGGAUUAGAUACCCGAGUAC
rnacentral:rRNA from 1 species